GAUGAAGAACGUAGUGAAAUGCGAUAAGUAAUGUGAAUUGCAGAAUUCAGUGAAUCAUCGAAUCUUUGAACGCACCUUGCGCUCCUUGGUAUUCCGAGGAGCAUGCCUGUUUGAGUGUCAUGAAAUUCUCAACCUUUUCAGCUUUCUUUGUUGAUCAGGCUUGGAUGUGGGAGUAUGCGGGCUUCUCAGAAGUCGGCUCUCCUGAAAUGCAUUAGCGGGACCUUUGUUGCCUGGCUUUGGUGUGAUAAUUAUCUACGCCAUUGUAGUCAAGCAGCUUAAAAUGAGGUUUCAGCUUCUAACCGUCUCCCCUGAGACAACUUUUUGACAAUUUGACCUCAAAUCAGGUAGGACUACCCGCUGAACUUAAGCAUAUCAAUAAGCGGAGGA
rnacentral:misc_RNA from 1 species